CAUGAUCUUCUUUAAUGGUUCAGUCUCUCUC
rnacentral:sRNA from 1 species